ACCAGACUCCUACGGGAGGCAGCAGUGGGGAAUAUUGCACAAUGGGGGAAACCCUGAUGCAGCGACGCCGCGUGAGUGAAGAAGUAUUUCGGUAUGUAAAGCUCUAUCAGCAGGGAAGAAGAAGGACGGUACCUGAGUAAGAAGCCCCGGCUAACUACGUGCCAGCAGCCGCGGUAAUACGUAGGGGGCAAGCGUUAUCCGGAUUUACUGGGUGUAAAGGGAGCGUAGACGGCCAUGCAAGCCUGGAGUGAAAGCCCGGGGCCCAACCCCGGGACUGCUCUUGGAACUGCGUGGCUGGAGUGCAGGAGGGGCAGGCGGAAUUCCUGGUGUAGCGGUGAAAUGCGUAGAUAUCAGGAGGAACACCGGUGGCGAAGGCGGCCUGCUGGACUGCAACUGACGUUGAGGCCCGAAAGCGUGGGGAGCAAACAGGAUUAGAUACCCUUGUAGAU
rnacentral:rRNA from 1 species